rnacentral:lncRNA from 1 species
AUUUGAUAAUUAAUAACUUAAUACUGAAUUAAGGAGUUAAUAACUCAAUACUGAAUUAAGGAGUUAUUUUACAAUUUUUCUACAUUUUUUACAACUCAAAUAUGUAAUCGUUUUUGCUAUGAAAAUAAAUGAUGUUUCAAAUCGUUUUAGCUAUAAAAGAAGCGUAUUCGCCUUAGCCGCCGAGAAAGUCACCUUCUGAUCUCCGUUUUCCCUCUCCCGUAGUCGGCGCUCCUCGCUGCUGCCGUGAGAGGGCCAUGUUGUUUCUUGUAUUUAGUUGUUGUUUCUCGUCUGUGGUUUGGCUUGAUCUGAUUUAGUUCAAUGAAGAAGUUGGUUUUGAUAGGGUAGUUGUUGUUUAUUGGAGAGCGGUGAUUCUACUUCCUCAACGGUAGUGGUUCAUCUUGUUGAGGAUUAGGAUUUUGUUUGGGCUUGGUUAAAUCUUUGGCUCGUCCCAUCUCUAAUUGAUGCUUUCAAAGCCCUUGGUUUAGACAAUAUUGGUUCUAGGUGGGCGUUUAUCUUCUGGUCCCAUUGUCGUACUUGCGCUCGUUUUCUUAGCCGGGUAAGCAGAUCUCUUGGUCUGGCUUCUUCUUGAUUUGCUAGAUUUGGUCUGGUUUUUCUCCGCCUUCUAAGGUUGUUUGGUGUCGUUUUAAUCUGCUAGUUCUAGCCUUCUUAGUUGUCGUGAGACUUGAUUCGAUGGAAGUCUUUCAGCUUUUGGGGUUUGAUUAUGGAUCUUAGCUCUACCUCUUAGUUUGAUCCUCUUGCUUGUUCGUUGGUGAGUUGUGGACUGGGUUUGUUCUUGGUGUUCGCCUCUCAGAUGUUUUUUUUUGUUGCUUAGCCACCUAUUAGCCUAUCUUCUUUAGAGUUAGGUUUUGGGCGAAACAAUGGAUUCGGUCUUUAGCUUUUCUCUUGCGAGGAGAUCACAAUUUCAAGUCUAUAGGUGGUUAAAACUGGUUCGACGAGUGUCCGCGUGUAAGAGCUGUUGAUCCUCUUUGGCUUAUCUCCAGUCGAUUUCCAAGGUGUCUUGCCUUGUUCCUAGUGUCUUGUCCUCUCCUCGUUUGGCUGGUGAGGUAUGAUGUGUUGUAUUUGUGUCGCUGGUCACGUUUGAUUCUUGCUUUCCUCCCUGUCGGUCUGCUUCUGAUUUGACUUUGGUGUGAGGUCUUCCACUCUUAUUGGAGCUGUCGUCGUUAACAUUUUCUAUAGGGAAGCUUAGUAUGAUUCUAUCUUGCCUUUGCUCAAUCCUAGUGCUUGAAUGCAUUUCCUCCUAGAAUUUUUGUUUCCUCUUUAGAAUUUUGCUUCUUUGUUCACUCUAAUAUGUUUCCUUGUAACUUGAAGUUGUAUUUCCCUCUUUUGGGCCAAUGUCUCCGGGGACAUUUUGUAGUCCGUCGGCUUAUGUAUUUCAACUUGGAUCUAUCUUUGGAUUGUUAUUAAAAUUUCAGAUGACAAAAAAAAAAAUCUCCAAUUUCCAAUACGCCAUUUAAAUACCAAAUUUAAAAGUUUAUGAUUCUUUUUGUGGAAUUUAAAAUUGUGGAUGUUAAUACAUAUUUUGAUGAUACUAAAAGAAUCAUAUUCAACAAACAGUUAAGUGUUUGUUCAACAAGACUAUUCCACCCAAAAAAA